CGGGGGAGGGAGGCGGAGCCACAGGAUAACCCCGCCUCCCUCAUUUGCAUCGGGCCCAGGCCCCGCCCAGAGCCGCCAGUUGCUUUACAUAUUGGCACCACACACACCACACCACAUCACACCACACCACACACACACACACACACACACACACACACACACACACACACACACACACGCCGCAGCCCGCCGGCCUCCCAACCAAGUGUUCUUAGCCGCAGCGCUGCAGCAUGGGGACCGCAGACUGCGCUGGACAGACCCGAGCCGCACCCCUAGCACGAUAUCCUCCUCAGCCCCAAGUGCAUUACGAUGAGCACCUCCAGUGCCCCAGCCAGGACCGAAUGCCGAAGGGCCUGAGGGGCUCCGAGAAAUGAGGGUAGAAGAGGCUGGACGCAGCCAGUUUCACCCUGGCCUCUGCAGAGACUGGUACCCAACACCCUCCAUCCAUCCCAUUGGUCAUUCUUCAUGCGUCUUCUGGAGGGAUGGGCUUUCGCUGUCACUCAUCCGGAAAGGCCUGUGGCCACACACACACACACACACACACACACACACACACACACACACACACAAACACACACACACGUUCUGCAGAGGUACGGGAGGAGCUCGCUUUAUGUUAUAUAUAUCUAACUCCACCACAAGGAAGACUUAUCUCUGCUUGCUCGAACCUUAGAACUCUCUCCACAAAAGGACUCAGUUUCCCCAACUGUAAAAUGAGGCUAAUGAGGAGGAGAGGUGCUGUCCUCAUGUGAGACUGAAGCCUUCGUUUACUUGUUAGGAGAAGAAAUUCCAAAGUGUUCAGGACACAUUAAGAUCCAACGCCACACUCUCCUUGAUGCGACCUGAAGGAUGGGAAGGUAGCUGACGAUGACAUUGGGUGUUAUAUAAGGUACUGCACCUAAAUCCCCCAUCCCUGUCCUGCUCUACACCCUGGGAACAAAGGAUGGCGUCAGUGAACUCUUUCACACAACCCAGACAUUGUCAAUGAUACCUUCGCGUCCCUCAGUGUCAAGUUUAGCAUCUGACACCUCCUACAAGCCCAAUGAGCGCUGAGUGAGUAAGUGACAGAGUAAAUGAAGAUUACCUGUACCAUGACCAGCAAACGUUCACAAAUAAAAAAUAACAUUAAGUGCUG